AAGUCAAUUAAUUUUCUUGAAGUUUACAAUUUUUUUAUAGAAAACUAAAAAAAUACAUCUUUUUGAAACGAACGUUUUUCCUAGAAAGUCUAUUAUUAAGGAACGGAGGGAGUAGUUGUUAUCUAGCCAUGAAGGCAUUUAAUGUAAACACACAAAUUUACAAAACAAUUAAUAUAAAUAACUGAAUAAAGUAAAUAUAUUUAGCUGAAUUAUUCAGACUAAGAUUAUUCAAAACAUUUAGUCCAUAAUAACAAUUUUAAUUUAUAUAUAUUACAUUUUGAAAAAUCUGUUUCAAUAUACAAAUUAUAUCUUGACAAGGCAAUCUGAAAGAAAAUAAAACUUUCACACUAAUAUUCAUAUGCUUAGGUAAAUGAAUCAUGCACUUUUAUAUUAUUUUGACUAUAAUCUGAGAAAAUCAUUGAAAGAUUUUCUUUACAAAAAUAUAACUAAUGCAAGUUUAUGUUUAUAUGUAGAUUGAUAUGCUUAGGUAAAUGAAUCAUGCACUUUUAUAUUAUUUUAACUAUAAUCUCAGAAAUUAAUUUAAAGAUUUUCUUUACAAACAAUAUAACUAAUGCAAGUUUAUGUUUAUAUUCUUAGGUAAAUGAAUCAUGCACUUUUAUAUUGUUUUGACUAUAAUCUCAAAAAAUGAAUUAAAAAGUUUUUUUUUAAAAAAACAUAAUUAAUGCAAGUUUAUGUUUAUAUGCUUAGGUAAAUGAAUCAUGCACUUUUAUAUUAUUUUGACUAUAAUCUCAGAAAAUUAAUUGAAAGAUUUUCUUUACAAAAAUAUAAUUGAUGCAAGUUUAUGUUUAUAUGCUUAGGUAAAUGAAUCAUGCACUUUUAUAUUAUUUUGACUAUAAUCUCAAAAAAUUAAUUGAAAGAUUUUCUUUAGAAAAAUAUAAUUAACACAAGUUUAUGUUUUUAUGUAGAUUGAUAUGCUUAGGUAAAUGAAUCAUGCACUUUUAUAUUAUUUUGACUAUAAUCUCAGAAAAUUAAUUGAAAGAUUUUCUUAAAAAAAUAUAAAUAAUGCAAGUUUAUGUUUAUAUGCUUAGGUAAAUAAAUCAUGCACUUUUAUAUUAUUUUGACUAUAAUCUCAGAAAAUUAAUUGAAAGAUUUUCCUUACAAAAUAUAAUUGAUGCAAGUUUAUGUUUAUAUGCUUAGGUACAUGAAUCAUGCACUUUUAUAUUAUUUUGACUAUAAUCUCAGAAAAUUAAUUGAAAGAUUUUCUUUACAAAAAUAUAAUUAAUGCAAGUUUAUGUUUAUAUGUAUAUAUAUAUAUAUAUAUAUCAAUCUAAAAUAUAAUAGAACUCUCAAACAAUUUAUAAAACAUCCUACAAAAUGAGUAUCUCCGAAAAAUGUAUAUUAAUCGCAUUUGUUUUCACUCUUUUCUUCGCGAUGUCAAUUGUUAGCUGCACCGAUAUUGUUUCAGAUUUCGGAGUAAAGAAAGCAUAUAAUCUAUGCUAUGGUCCAUGUGACGACAAAGGAGUGUGUGAGCCGUUUUGUUAUACCAAAAAGGGUCCGAUAAGGGGAGACUGUGUUGGUGGCACUUGUUGUUGUGCUGAACAUUAAAUAAAAUAUUAAAUAAUAUCAUUAGAUAUUAUAUCUUGUAUGAAAUGAAAUAAUACUACCAAUAAUACAUAAAAUGCUUUUACAAAAAAAAUAUAUAAAAUGUUAUUAAAUUGAAGUUACUUUGAUUAACCUCGAGAAAACAUUAGUCAAAGUUGCAUGUCUUUUCUAAAAAAACAUUAAUAAAAUAAUAGUAUAUAUUAA